UACGUAGGUGGCAAGCGUUGUUCGGAAUUAUUGGGCGUAAAGGGCGCGUAGGCGGCUUGUUAAGUCGGCUGUGAAAGCCCGGGGCUCAACCCCGGAGGGUCAGCCGAUACUGGCAGGCUAGAGUACGGAAGAGGUAGCUGGAAUUCCCGGUGUAGCGGUGAAAUGCGUAGAUAUCUGGAGGAACACCGGUGGCGAAGGCGGCAUCCUGGACCGGCAUUGACGCUGAGGCGCGAAAGCCAGGGGAGCAAACGGG
rnacentral:rRNA from 1 species